rnacentral:rRNA from 1 species
UACGGGGGGGGCAAGCGUUGUUCGGAAUUACUGGGCGUAAAGGGCUCGUAGGCGGCCAACUAAGUCAGACGUGAAAUCCCCAGGCUUAACCUGGGAACUGCGUCUGAUACUGGAUGGCUUGAGAUUGGGAGAGGGAUGCGGAAUUCCAGGUGUAGCGGUGAAAUGCGUAGAUAUCGAGAGGAACACCUGCGGCGAAGGCGGGUUGCUGGGCUGACACUGACGCUGAUGCGCGAAAGCCAGGGGAGCGAACGGG